rnacentral:lncRNA from 1 species
AGUGUAGUUACACUUGAAGAUGAGCGGAGGGUACAUGGAUACCCUUCGUGUGUCGCUCUCAAAGAAGAUCAUUAACAGGCAGUGACGGAUCCACUGGGAAAGCGUGUCCUAGUUUUCUUCUCAAUAUUUUGCACUAAUUAAAAUCAUUUCUGCUGCAGAUCCUCCACUCAUUUGAGUUUGGGAACUACUCUUGGUGGAGUGCAGAACACAGUGGAGCUGAUGAGAGCGUCCUGGGCUAGGAGGUCAAUGCUGAAGACUCUGCGUCUUGUGUUCAGUGUCACCCAAGGCAGAAAGGUCUUUGCGCGCCUGAAGUCCCAGGACGCUUCGCCUGAAGUCUCAGUUGUUUCCUUCAGCCCUGGCAAAUGCAGAAAAAUGCUGGUAAACGUUUUCAUGGAGAAGGUCUGCUGGCGUGGAGGCCUUUCAGUGCAUCUUGCCUGUGUAUGCAAUUAUGGUGAUUUACAUACAGAGCUCAGGCCCAUCCAAGAAGAGGGGGUUUCUGGGAAAACAAGUGUGCAAAGACAGAAAGAAAGAAAGAAGAAAGAAGAACACACCAGUAAAUAAACAGAAGAUAUAACAGACGGAGCAGAUGAGGGCGCUCUGGAUUGAUAUGGCCACACAUCCUGAGACCUGGCGCACACACACACCCCAAACUCCCGGAGCGCAAUGAUGAUGGAACAACCCCAUGUGCCCUCAUGGUGGAACUGGAUUGUCUGUUUGUCUGUGCAUGUGUGUGUUGGGGGAUGGGGUGGGGGGUCAUAUGAGUAUAUACUGUGUGCAUCUGUGUAUGUGUAGGCGUGUGUGGGCAUGUGACGUUCCUGUUGUUUUUCUUCCUAUGUUGUUGUGCACUUCUGACACCUUAUUUCAGGUCAAAUGUUGCCAACCUUGUGAAGGAGGAGAACUAACACGACGGCUUCCACAGAUCCACACCACUGAGCUGCAGAAGAACAUUUGCAAAUGAGGCCCCCUGUUCCACCACUGUGCUGAAAAAUGAAUGAAUAAAUGGAGUUUUCUGGGAAGAAACA